GAGGGUAUAGCUCAGUGGUAGAGCGCAUGCUUAGCAUGCGGGAGGUUCUGGGUUCAAUCCCCACUACCUGUU
rnacentral:tRNA from 1 species